rnacentral:rRNA from 1 species
GUGGGGAAUAUUGGACAAUGGGGGGAACCCUGAUCCAGCCAUGCCGCGUGUGUGAAGAAGGCCUUUUGGUUGUAAAGCACUUUAAGCGAGGAGGAGGCUACCGAGAUUAAUACUCUUGGAUAGUGGACGUUACUCGCAGAAUAAGCACCGGCUAACUCUGUGCCAGCAGCCGCGGUAAUACAGAGGGUGCAAGCGUUAAUCGGAUUUACUGGGCGUAAAGCGCGCGUAGGUGGCCAAUUAAGUCAAAUGUGAAAUCCCCGAGCUUAACUUGGGAAUUGCAUUCGAUACUGGUUGGCUAGAGUAUGGGAGAGGAUGGUAGAAUUCCAGGUGUAGCGGUGAAAUGCGUAGAGAUCUGGAGGAAUACCGAUGGCGAAGGCAGCCAUCUGGCCUAAUACUGACACUGAGGUGCGAAACCAUGGGGAGCAAACAGGAUUAGAUACCCUUGUAGUCC